GGCGCAGUGGCAGAGUGGUCUAAUGCGCAAGACUAGAAUGGUCUCUAUCCGAGAUAAGGCUAAUCUUGUUCCUUCGGGAGCGUCUGUUCGAAUCAGGCCUGCGUCG